rnacentral:misc_RNA from 1 species
GAGAAGAGGUCCAGAAGAUGAAUCCAGGAUCCCUAAAUUUAAAAGGUGAUGAGAAUCCAUCCAUUGAAGGGGAAGAAGCAAAAGAGAUCAAAAGUCAGGCAGUACCUUCGAUGUCAGUACCCGAGAGUUCUUAGGUUUUUGGUUUUGUGGGGGUAUAGGUUUUUGGUGCGGUACGGAAGGAGUUGAGCAGAGUAAUGCAGCGAGGCCGGAAGGUUGCGGCCUUAUGUUAAAGGUAGAUGGUAGAAAUGAUGUAUUGAAUUUUGGACGUGCAAGUUAGUAUUGUGUGGAGUGUAGUCCACUGUUAUACGUAAAAAUAUGUAUAUGACCGUGUGUCUACGGAUGAUGGCUAGGCCGGCUUGAGUUUCCAAACCAUAAUUCCACCUUGUAUAUAGGCUCUUGUUGUACUCAAGGAAUGUAGUGAAUCUAAAUUCAAUUGGGUGCG